rnacentral:rRNA from 1 species
GACGAACGCUGGCGGCGUGCUUAACACAUGCAAGUCGAACGGAAAGGCCCUGCUUUUGUGGGGUGCUCGAGUGGCGAACGGGUGAGUAACACGUGAGUAACCUGCCCUUGACUUUGGGAUAACUUCAGGAAACUGGGGCUAAUACCGGAUAGGAGCUCCUGCUGCAUGGUGGGGGUUGGAAAGUUUCGGCGGUUGGGGAUGGACUCGCGGCUUAUCAGCUUGUUGGUGGGGUAGUGGCUUACCAAGGCUUUGACGGGUAGCCGGCCUGAGAGGGUGACCGGCCACAUUGGGACUGAGAUACGGCGCAGACUCCUACGGGGGGCAGCAGUGGGGAGUAUUGCACAAUGGGCGGAAGCCUGAUGCAGCAGCGCCGCGUGCGGGAUGACGGCCUUCGGGUUGUAAACCGCUUUCGCCUGUGACGAAGCGUGAGUGACGGUAAUGGGUAAAGAAGCACCGGCUAACUACGUG